CCUUUUUUCUGAUCUCAUUUAACCCUUUCCCGGCUUUAGCCGUCAUAUGACGGCAGCGGUAGUGAUAAUUUUCAAAAAAUUGUUGUGGGCACUGUGUUGGAGCUAUGCACACACUGUAGGUACCAGCACAUGCGCAUUGGGCUGCUCUUUCACAUGGUAUCUUUAAUAUCUUGCCUCGAGGUACGCUUUGUGCAGUACUGUCGAAAGAAAAGUGACCGUUUGAUAAUGGCUACAAGAUCUUGGUAGUACAACCUCAGCGAGGUUCUAGGGCAGCUAGACAGUGAGAAUAACGAUGAUUAUGGCCUUGUUGAGUAAGAGGACAGUGACUGGGAUCAUACCAAGAGAGGAAACUACUUUUCAGAGGUCAAGCUAUAAACAUAGAGCCUGAAGAGCCGGAGGAAGAAGCUCCUGAGCAUGAACCAAAGUCCUGGACCUUGUGAAGAAAACAUUUCCCGGGAAAAGAGCGUCUGCCGAUACGACCUCGCAGAGAAGUUUCUGCUGAUCCUGAUUGAACCAUGUCACCGUGAGAACAUUGAGAACACUUACUUACUGUUUUUAGUUACUUCAUGCCUUCAUACAAUAUUCUUUAUGUUCAUAAUUGUGAAAUGUGUGAAAAAUCGUUAAUUAGUGGGGGGUGGUCAGUUGCUAGGUAAUGAUGAUGAUGUCAUGGUACCCCCAGGAUCUGGGCUACCUGUAGGAAAUAGUUGCAAGUGAUUUCAAUGCAUUGUUCAUGAGAUAUUUAUUUUUAAAGAAAAAUAUGUAUUUAUUCUGUAUUUUGUUUUUUUAAUUAAAGCCGGGAAAGGGUUAAUAUGCCUCGGUUUUAUUUAUUUACUUUUUUUAUUUUUUGGAGUUUGCAAGAUAUUUAAAUUAGUGUGGAAAGUACAAGUAGGUAUUGGGUGACGUACAGACAAGUAGUAAUGAAACACUAGAUUGUUAGUAAGUAGGCGGUUAGCCUAGUAUUCCCAUCCAGCACAGUGGGAGACCUGUGCGAGGACGUCGGCCGGGCAUGAAGCGGAGUCUGGAACCAGCCCUGGAGUUUCUUUUGAGGGGCUCAGAGCAGCAGACUGAGCAGCGUUAAAAACGAUGUCUCGGAUGGCGUCCCCACAUCCCACGAGGGCUGAGGCUAACCGGCUCUUAAGCACAGAUUUAUCGAUGGCAGCAGAGAGGGCUUCUCGUAUGCCUCGGUGCACGAGCGAGGUAUACGGUAGUUUUUUUGUGUGUGUGUGUAGACUGCUAGGAUCAAUGAACUGUAAUUUCUUGGAUUUUAAUUCGUGGAUUUGCAAAAUAAUGCUUCGUUCUCGAGUUAUGCCUAGUUUUGCUUACUUGGAAUGCCAUUGCAGCCUUUUCAGAAGAGUGCGUAGCAAAAUGCGUAUCAAAACGAAUGUUGUUAGUAGUAAAUCUGCGGUUUGCAUUCAUACAAGAAUCUGAACCAAUUAGUACUACACACGAAUCCGUACCAGUGUGUGCGACAGAAAGUUGAUUCCCGUACAUAUAUUUAGCUCUGCACUAGAACGCUAGCUAUAUUGGUAGCUGCAAGAGUGAGAAGAGAGCUACAAAGCUCUGCUGAUGGCAGCCAUUCAUUUUUAGACUUGAACUUUUGGUUUAACAACAAUCAUGGUCGAUCAUUACCCACUUGUUGAGUUUCUUUCUGAUUCUGAUUCUUAUGCAGCAAAAUUUACAAGAUCGUUCAUCUUAUAAUUAUAAUGUGUUAUGUGUUAGCUUUACAUGUGUGUUAUGUAGCUUUGACACCUCCACUGAGGAGGCAUCAGCACCCGCAGUGCUUUCAUUUAAUAUAUAUAAUAAACAGAACACAUUUUUUCAUUUUCCUUUGUGUGCAAUUUUAUAAUAUGGCACAUAUCAUUUCAACUGUCGCGCAUUUGGAGGGUCGCAUCUCAAUAGAGGGAAUUGCGCAUGCGUGCAAGAAUGGCUGUUUCGGAAUAUGAUACUAUCUGUGGCUACCACCACUACAAACUAUUUGAACAGCAGUAACAGGCCGGUGCUACAAGUACAAAAAGUCAUCAUGAUCCAUAUGCAGUUUGGCACUGAUCAAAAUAAUAAAACGUUAUCGGAAGCAAGAUAUACUGAUCAUUCAUGUGGGAGCAAUAGUGACAGGACCAAAAAAUUCGCUGAUGAUGAGGGCUAGACAUUCCUUAUAAAUACUUAUUUAUCGAUGAGAAACGACUUGUACGAAAGGCGAAGAAGCUAUAUAGAUGUAUUGACUGAUAUCGAAAAACUACGAUAAAAUUAUAUCACUAUUUUACCUAGUCAAUGAGAAGGACAUAUAACUGAUAAAUGGGGGUUAUAUCAGAACAGUCACUGAUAUAUAGGGGACAAUUCUCCAGCACAGACUCAGACUCAAUUCGCUAGCAAAAGAAUCCAGACUAUUUUGUCGAUUUUUUUGUGUCGAACUCGUCAAAAGAAGACUGACGAUCAUCGGAGCUGGAGUCUCUAGAAACAUCAUCAAAUAAAAUUAUAUCAUCUGCUGGUGGGGGUUGAUUCGACCUCUCGCCAAAAACUUCAAGAAGCUGAGCAUCAAUCCCUUCCAUCAUAGUGUCACUUCGAAUCAAGCCGUCUUCCCAUGUUCCAAACACGUUGCUGAUCCCUGUGACAAGUAAUGAUUUCAUUAUGGCAGCCUUGAUUUUGCUCCAGGCCCAGUCUCGUCUUUCCAUGCACAAAAAGUGAAAUAGACUUAAUUAUGUACAACUUACCACUUUCCCUACAAUUUCUAAUUGUAGAAAUAGCUAUAAUACAUUAGCUAGCAUAAUUAUAGUUCAAGAUUCUCAAUGUCAUCGGAUUUUCACAGUAAAUCCAGUUUCAGUAUGCACCCACUGACCGUAAUCGACGUUGGAUUGUUUACAAAGCACUUCACCCUUGCUUACUCGAUACUUGUGUGGUUUAAAAUUAUUGUAUAUACAUAAUUAUUUGAAGACACAAUGAAGUACACUUGAAGAGGGACUUUAUGUUAAGUGCGUUUCUGAAUAAGUUCAGGCUGCGCUUCUUGAUACCAUGGUCUUUAAUCAAUAAAUAUUUUGUUUUUCCGUUUGCAAAUAUAAAGAGUCGAGUGACUCUUGGUUUAGCUUGUUAUAGGUAUUAGCCCGUUUUCUCUUUGCAUUCUUCUAGACGUUCUUUGAGGUGAUGUGUUUAUCAUUAGAUUGCGUGGAUUUUGUACACAUAAAUUUACUAUUAUUCUCUUCUCAAGGCCCUAUCAAUGACCCCCCAUCGAUGAAGAAGUUAUACAUGUGCAUGUACAUGUAUAUGCUGAGUGCCACCUAUUGCAUUUUCAAAAUGCUGUUAGACGGUGUGUUAUGUUGAAAGCGCUCAGCAGUUGCUCCUAAAUUGUUAGUACUGUAUUGGCUAUAAAGUCAUUUGGCAUUUGAGCAAUUUUUACUCUUAAUUCAAUUCUAUGCAUGCAUGUCCUUCUCGUUUUCCAAUAGCAUGCAUAUUAGCGUAAUGGUGGAGGGUAUGGAAAGCCAUUGUGGACAAAAUUAGAUAUGGAUUUCCAUACUUAAAAUCGCACGUCGACUAUACAUACAUUGAAACCCAUGUGUGUUGAUCAUGGAUUUCGAUACUCGAAAUGGCGUGUCGAUUGUAAUUCGAACCCAUGGUCGUACAUGUCUGUUGAUCACUAUGAUCGAUCACAGCAAUCGAAUCGAAUGGUGAAAUCAAUCACGGCGAUCGAUCGGAAAUCAUUAAGUGAAGCCGUUAUUAUACAGCGCGAGCGCUGUCAAUAAUAAUGUUAUUCAUGAUUUAAAUAUAGACCACACUAAUAACAGGAGCCCAUAAAGAGAAGGAGCGGCUGACUACGGGGAUCACAUCUCGUAAGUGGUUAUGACCGCAUUUCCAUAUAUGCAGGGUCACUUAACCCUUUAACCGCCACGGGCCACGAUCGUGGCCCGCAAUAGUGACUUUUUUGCGAAAUUCUAAUUCUGCGAUACUUAGGAAGUAGCUCGAACUACGCACAUCCCUGUAUAGAGGAAGAGCUGUAGAAUCACGUGCAAUUUAGUCUAGAAAUUUCCAAGCCACGUUGCUAUGUUAAAAUUUCAUUAGCAUCUUACCGCACGAAGUUUAUAGCUAUGGCUAGGUUGUUUACUUGUGCCGAUGUGCUUGAACAGCUUGAGGACAGCAAUGGCGAUGUCUCCUCUGGUGAUAACAGUGCCUAUGAAGGAGAGGGGAUAGUAGGAUACCUCCCAAAGGCUACCAGCUUUAUGUCAGACGCUGAUGAACUGUCUGGGACUGAGGACAUGCAUGACAUGGACCUAGACGCUAGGGCCAGGACGGUGAAAGACCAGGAGAGGGCUCACUGUGUGACUCUGGCAAGUAGUAUAGUAUAGCUAGAAUAUCAGUAGUGUAAGUAUAGUAUAGCUAAAAUAGAAUUAGCAGUAAUGAACAGUCUUUAUGUGAGCUUGUAAAUUUUAUAGAUCGUUCACCGAUAUAGUAAUACAUGUACGUAUUGUGGUUAGCACUGAUACAUUCAUAUGAUGUGAAAAUCAAGCUUAGUCAAGCCUUUAUAGGCUGAUCCAUAAAAAAAAUUUUUUGGAUUUUAUCUCACUGCUGGCCGAGCAUUUAAAAUGAUAAAAACGGUUGAGCGUAAUAACCGUGGUUGUUAUGGCAACACAUGUUGUACCAUUUUAUUCUUUGUUGUAUGGGCAUUCUAUUGGUGUAUGGUUGCUAGGCAUUUUAUUGCUCUGGAAACCCGAUAGAGAAUUUACAGACAUUUCACUUCACUGUUAAUUAAGAAUCCGACGGUUAAAGGGUUAAGUGGUUGAAUCCCUACACGUGUUAUACGCAAUGCAGGGAUGCGGUUUGCAAGCACUUAGUCGCUUCCAUACAACGAAGUGCGGUUUCACCAGCAAUUACGAGAUGUGAUCCCUGAGUGUACGUUGAAGUUAGCCGCUCCUUUUCUUUAUAGGCUCCUGCUAAUAACAACUCAAGAAUGAAGAAUGCCACACAUUAGAGUUCAAUAGCAUAGCGUUCAUAUACCACCGGUAGCAUUGAAGUUGGGUCACAGCAUAAUUAUAAUUAUCGACAUUAUCUACAAUAACUGAGUUAAGGACAUCUUCAAAUCUUCAUAAUCCAUCGUUAGCAGACCUACAGGCAAUACUAGUAACUGCAAGUGUGAACAGCGAUGGCAUCUGAUUCGUUAAAGUCAAUCCGAAUAGACUUUGGAAGAGUUGCACCAGUGCAAUAGAGUAGGAAUACCUCGAGUUCUGAAAGAAAUGACCGGUGCAAUUAAGUAAACAUAAUUAUACAUGCUCUAAUACACUCACUCUGAUCUGAUAAUAUAUUCCUAUUAUUUUAGGAAUAACACUCACUUUCAACAUUUGUCCUAUUCCAUGGUCAUUACUAGCAUUUGUAUUUACAAUGUAUUCAAAUUUGUGAACAGAGCCAUGUUUUGCACCACUUACAAACAGAGAGUUACCUCUGAUCUUUAUGUGGCGUUUUUCGCACUGGUCUUUAUUGAUUAGCUCCCACCUCUUUUUCAAAAGAAUAGACUCCACUUUCCUCUGGUCCCUAGUAAGUGAUAGAGAUUCCAGGAUGUUGGCUGAGAUUUCGCCUGUUAAACAGAAUCGAGUAAGUUCAAUCAUGAUGGGCCUGUUUUUUGAUUUAUUGUACUUCCUGAGUCGUAUCAUCUACUUCCUGAAGCAGCUCUGAGAUAGCUUGGGUGUCUUUCCUGACACGAUCAAUUCUUGAAGUUCCUUUAGAUGGACCCAAUUUUCUAGAGUGCACUGCAAUAUGGUAAGCUGCUAUUGACAGGAUUUUAUGACUCUUCGAUACCAUACACUAUGAGCUUAAACUUUCUAUCUUUAUCCUCUCGUUUUUUGUCAAAAGUGUCCCGGUGGGGUACUAUUUUCCUUGUCAGCUACAGUUGCACCCGUGGCGCCAAGGUCUAGUAUUGGAGCAGGUCCUAGAGGAGAAUAAUUUUUAUUAAAAAACUUAAAAAGCUUGUGUUCCAGUUUAGUAAUUUCUUUUUUUAGGGUUUUGACUUCUUCUUUCAGGCUGAGGGUACUGCAAUAGUGACAGAGAUACUCAUCUGGAGAGUCUUGGGCAUGUUUGAAAGCUGUUACAGAUAGCCCUGCGCAUCCACACUUGACAUACACCAUCGCAGAAACUAGAUUCUUCAUUGCUGUCGUCUACAUGUUUCUCACAGACACCGCAAGAUUCACUUGCAGGGCUAGCGUCCUUCACAGGGCCUUUCUGCAUGUCUGGUUGCCUGCUUGCUUUGGCUUUAGCUUUAGCUCCUUGCUGUUGCUGUUGCUUCUUGGGAGGCAUAGUCAGAGGAUCGAGGCCUCAGUAGCCUGUAUAGAAAGCUUGAUAGAGGUGAAGUUACAGAGAGAGCUGUAGGCUUUAGCUUUAGCUCCUUGCUGUUGUUGUUGCUUCUUGGGAGGUGCAUAGUCAGAGGAUCGAGGCCUCAGUAGCCUGUAUAGAAAGCUUGAUAGAGGUGAAGUUACAGAGAGAGCUGUAGGCUUUAGCUCCUUGCUGUUGUUGUUGCUUCUUGGGAGGUGCAUAGUCAGAGGAUCGAGGCCUCAGUAGCCUGUAUAGAAAGCUUGAUAGAGGUGAAGUUACAGAGAGAGCUGUAGGCUUUAGCUCCUUGCUGUUGUUGUUGCUUCUUGGGAGGUGCAUAGUCAGAGGAUCGAGGCCUCAGUAGCCUGUAUAGAAAGCUUGAUAGAGGUGAAGUUACAGAGAGAGCUGUAGCGGCCAACAGAAUAGUUGAUGCAGAACCAUUGAUGGUGACUUUAAUUCGUUAAACCUUCUGUAAAGAGCUACCAAAUCACCCCAUGGAUCAUCGAAAUCGAUAGAAAGUUUUACCUUCUGAAGACGCCGAAAAUGGUAAUUAAUAGACAGAUGGAUGCUACAUCACCAUCAAAGCCAGAGAAGUUGAAUAUUGUUGAAAUUUGUUUCGCUGAAACACUUUAAGUGAGAAGUGUAGUUAUUAGAUUAUCCAGCUCGUUUGAGUGACUUGACUGGUGCCAGACGAACCUGGGCUUUGAGUGACUGGUACUGGUGCUGGGCUAGCUUGGGUGACUGAUUGGGUCGGAAUAUCAACUAUGAUGACAUCAUCACCCUCUUCUUCUUGCCUUCUAAAUUACAUAGAAUGACAGGUCAGCAUUUAUAAAAUCAUAACCAUGGUACUGGGUUACAUAAUUAUGAUAAUUAUGCCUCGGUGCGCAUGCAAUUUAUUUGUAUUUUUUGUAUCAACAUUAUUUGAGAACUGUAAAUCGUACGUAAGUCUAAUCAGGCUUUUGAUACAUCACAUAAGUAUUGAACCACUGGUUAAUUGCUGUGAUCAAUUCCACUCAUUGAUUGCUGUGAUCGAUCGCUGUCAAUUCCUGCCAUAGAUUCACGAUUCCCAUAAUGGAUCAUAGUGAUCAUGUGUGUGUAUGUAAUGUAUGUACAAUUGACAUGUACAUACACACCAUUCGAGUAUGGAAAUCCAUAUCUAAUUUUGUCCACAAUGGCUUUCCAUAGGAGGGAUCUUCUCGUUAGGGUCUAAUUUGUUCUUCUCUUAGCAUUUUAACAUGUAGUUUUGCCAUGAAUGGUGUGAGAGACUUGAAAGGCUUGUUUAAGCAGACGUCUAGAGGCUGGAGCACAGAUGUGCACAGGCAAAUAUGUGGGCCUGAAACUUGUCAAGGCAAUGCGGGGAUGCACCUUAAAAACUAAUACAUUUGUUUAUUCGUGGCAGGAAGAUCAGAUGCAAACAGUGAGCAGAGAUAAUCACAUUUUCGUCGUUAUCCAGACAUACCUACGGCAUCCAUAUCUCAUCGAUAUAUCUCAACAUCACCAUCCAUGCUUUAUCUUGGGUUGCAACAACAAAACCUGUCAGAACAACAUAUUGUUUCGUCUUCCCCUUGAAAAUUAUCAUUAGUUUGUGUGCCGUCGAUCUAGUUUUUAUCUCCUCUGAGAAGUAUGUUUGGAUGAGGUCUGUCUCUUCCUUGGUGUACGACACCCUCUUCUUCUUCUUAGGAAUUAGGAGCGGCGAGUCCUCCCAUGUUCGUUUCCUAGUAGUAGCCUUCUCGACGAGGUGUCGGAGGAGAUAGAGGUAAGAAUCCACCAUGAGCAGUGCAGGUGAAUACUACCGUCAAGUGACGUAUCUCUGACCUAUAAUAAUUAUAUAAGUAUGUACCAGUUAUCCUUAUUUUGAUACUUUUUGCCCAUUUCAUCUAAAUGGUUUUCACCAGACAAGCGUUUCGUCCAUAUUACCAAAGCACCUAUAUAUACAUACAAUUAUCGGUCCUUUCUCGCAGUUCCUUUAUAACACCAUAUGCCGCUAUUUGUUCCUUUAGGUUUUUGGGGAGCUUUUGUGCCAGAGUGGUUUUUGACGGAGCACAAGGGAAUGCCGUCUGUAUACAGGGAAGAUCGAAAUUGGAAUUUUUAUUAACAUGAUAUACAGGAGUGACUGAAAUCUUUUUCUACCUAUCACUGAAUAUUGCAUCGGUGCACUCCAAACUUUCCAUAAUCUGCUAUCUUGAUUUUUUGAGCAUAGGAGUAUCCUAUGAAUGAGCUUGGAAGGAGGUUCAUCACCUACACAAUUUGAUAGUCUACAGUUAUUAUAGCUACACAGUUAAUUGUAUGUACCAGCAAAAAGCUUCACCCUGAGUGACACAGUCAUUGACACUGACCUGUUGCUCGAUAAAAAGUGGAUGGUUGCUGGUUUGCAACUGCAGCUGCAUGGUUGCUGCUGGUGCUUUCUUGGUCUACCUACUCUCGGCUUCUUAGCUGGAAGGUCAGGUCUGAUACAGGGUCUGGAGGCAGCCUCCUCUGCAGUUUCAACAGCGAAAAAUAUGUGAUCUCUACCUCCAUUUGUAUGCAACGGAUGCCUGAUAGAGGCGAAAAUAUUACGUUUGGACGGAAGUGUCACAUAUUUGGAGGGUUGCUUUAAAUCGAAUAAGUUCGGCCAAGAACCCAAAUGGCACCGGACCAAGUCCACUGGAUCACCGGACCGGGUCCACGGAUUUUUUCCUGGUCUGACCAUGAAACAAAUUCUGCAAACAUUCUGGAUUGUUCAAAAGUCUGAUUGAUCAAGCGACUUUUGCGAAUUAUGCUAUACAAACUGGGAAGAUUUAUGGUUACGCUUUAUUAGAGUACACAUAUUGAAAUUCACUAAGUGUUGAAAGCACGACCUUUGUGGUGAAGACGGGUGACCACCAGGUUCCUGUUUUAUCUUCUGCUUUCCAUUCCACUUGCCCCCAUGCACCCACGGUGAUCGAGUAACAUUCAUUAGUGUAAAAUUUGUGCAGACUCGGGGAGAGAUGCAAAUGCAACUCUUGAAGAGCUUCAGUGUCUUCUGCUUUCGUCUUCAGACUUAUAAUGUUGAUUUGGCUCUUCCUCAUGCAUACAGUAGAGGUGGUCAACUGCUGGUGGAAGCAACUCCACCAGCCCUCUUAUUAUUGUAGUCAAGUUUUCUUGUUUUCCUUUGAUACAGCAGUAAUUGUAUUUUUUAUUUUUUUUGCAAAUGAUUUUACAUUACAAUUAAUACAAAAUUACAUAAUAAUUAAUGAUAAUCAUGAGAUGCUAUGCAGAUAUAAUCAAAGGCAUAUAAUCACAGAGAAACUCAAAAGAGUGGGAAACGAUCGACUAUGAUUGUUACUAAAAAUGAUGCCAAAAGUCCAAAGUCUAACAUUAAUGGCUGCUAGCUGUGCUGGUUGCAUCUGUGCGGUGCUUUCAUUAAACAGGCAAUCUUUUGUCUGUGUAUAGCAGCCUUUUUUGCGGCAUGUAUGCAAUUAUAUCUGCAUAGCAUCUCAUGAUAAUUAUCAUGUGUAAAGGAGGAAGUUUUCCCGUCGUACUCUAAUUUCUAUUAUACAUUGCUUUGUAGUACACUUCGGAAAACAAAAAACUGAUAUACUGUGUUUAGUGAUGGAUUUGAAUACCGUAACAACCUCAAAAUGUCUUUUGCAACCAAGGUUGCUUUUCGCUCUGUCUCGAGCAUACGCGAAGAUUGAACUUCUAUGAAUGUUAUGACGUUUUCAUUGUUAUUUGACCUUUGGGUUGUGGACGCAUCCAAAUGCGGUAAAAACUUCAUGAAUUUCAUUUCAUGGUUAGUUUCGAUGCUGGGAAUGGCUUCUAAACCGACGUUUUGGAGAAGAUCAUUAAUAAGGCUCCCUGUAUAGCAGAAUAUGACCAAUCACUAACUAGAAAGCAUCUGGCUAAUUGUCUGAGUAAUUGCUGUUUCACAACUGCAAUGGCCAAGCAGAGCACGCCACAGUCCGACGAAUUGCGCUAUUUGUCUACAUCUACCAUUUUUAUGGUCAAUGUUGAAGACUGGCAAAAUGCUAGCCUUGCAAUUGUGUCCACUGUAGAGGAGGGUAGACUUUGAUACAUGGUGUCAUACACGAAUACGACAUUACUCUGGCACCCUAGGUUUGACACCAGCACCCAAAAGUGAAAUAGACUUAACUUACCACUUUCUCUCCAAUUUCUAAUUGUAGAAAUACCGGUAGCUAUAUAUAUAAGCACAUCAUUUUACGUUUACAUCUAUGGAACGCCAAAUAGGUCAAAAAUACAUCCCACUUCAAGGGGGUGUCUCACACAUCUAUCGGUUACUUUGCACACAUCGAUCUUUACCCACUUGUACACUUUUGACAUCUAUCGACUACUUGACAUCUAUCGACUACUUGACAUCUAUCGACUACUUGACAUUUAUCGACUUGACAUCUACUGCUACGUAUACUUACAUCUAUCAACUACUUGACAUCUAUGCAAUAUGAUACUACUUGACACUAGUUGGAAUCCGCCCAACUAUACUUGACACUAUCCAUGUACAUGAUCUAGUUGGGCGUGGCCCCACCCAUUGUAGCCCCACCCCACAGGGCAUGGUCCAAUUUUAGGUCAGAGUACAUGUACCUACAUACCUGUGAGAAGUAUAGUAUAGUGCAGUGUAGUAGUAAUCUAGUCUAGUCAUGGCUCUUCAUGUUAGCUCUGAUGAAAUGAUCGAGUUUCUAACAAUAUUGGAAGAUGGUAUAAGGACUAUUCAAGUGGAAGAUGAACAAGGAACUUCCAAUGUGCACAGUCUACUUCAUCAGUGUGAAGACAUUCUCGAAGUUGUUGUUUAUGCCUCUGACUUGUUUCCAGCUGGGUGUGGAGAUGCCAUUGUUGAUGCAGUAACAGAAGUGUAUAAGUAUAUUGAAGUAAAUUGCCUAAGAGAUAGUCACAGAAGAGAGAGACCUUGUGUGAACGUGUCUGAGACUCAGUUGGAGCACCUUUUUUCGUUUGAUUUUAGAGUUAGAGAUAUUGCACACAUGCUUCAUGUAUCUGAGAGCACUGUCAAGCGAAGAAUAAUACAGUUUGGAUUUGAAAACAAAUUACAGCGCACAGACAUCUCCGAAUCUGACUUGGAUAUUAUUACUGCUGAUUUUGUUCACCACUUUCCAAACAGUGGACAAAAUACUUAUGAUGGUUAUCUAAGAGGGAAAGGGAUAAGAAUACAACGAUAUCGAGUAAGAGAGAGCCUUUCUCGUAUUGAUGAAACAGGAGUACAAAAACGUCUGAGACGAGCCUUACACCACAGGAGAUAUAGUGUACCUAUGCCUAAUAGCUUGUGGCACAUAGAUGGGCACCACAAAUUAAUACGCUGGAGAAUAGUAGUGCAUGGAGGCAUUGAUGGUUUUUCUCGAUUACCAAUCUAUUUAAAAGCGUCUACUAACAACAAAUCUGAGACUGUACUACAGUGUUUUUUGCACGCUGUUUCUUGUUAUGGUUUACCUUCACGUGUGCGGUGUGAUAAAGGAGGCGAAAACGUUAAAGUCUCAGAAUACAUGCUUUCAAAUCCUGAACGAGGUCCUGGUAGAGGUAGCUGUAUUGUAGGGAAAAGUGUCCACAACCAACGGAUCGAAAGUUUGUGGAGAGACGUAUUUGUUGGUUGUCUGUGUAUGUUUUACCGGUUGUUCUAUGCUCUCGAAGACAACAGUUUAUUAGAUCCUACAGAUGAAGUGGAUAUAUUUGCAUUACACUUCGUGUUUCUUCCACGUAUUCAACAACAACUAAAUGUUUUCCGCGAGAGCUAUAGCCAUCACAGAUUGCGAACUGAAGGCAAUAGGACGCCAUACCAGCUUUGGAUAGAGGGAAUGACCUCACUAACAACAGAUGGAGCAGCAUUACAAGGAGUAUUGGAUGAUUCAUCAAUUGGAGAUUAUGGAAUAGAUUGGAACGGCCUCUCUUGUAUCGAGUCCCAAGAUGGGGUUGCAGUCCCAAGCACUAAUUUCCCACUGUCUGAUGCACAGUUUAGUAUGCUUAAAGAAGAGGUGAACCCACUUGCUGUUUGUGAUGACUAUGGCAUAUCGUUGUUUGGUCGCACCAAAGACUUAGUAGCUAGAUGUCUGUCUAUUUAGAAUGAUGUAACAUAAUGAUAUUGAAAGAUCAUGAUAAAGUAUGAAAGUGAUACAGGGUGAAUAGAACACAAAAAGAGUAUAUGUUCGAAAGAAUCAUGAUAAAGUAUGAAAGUGAUACAGGGUUAAUAGGUUUUGUCAAACACAAAAAGAGUAUAUGUUCAUUUUAUUGCAGUGCUUAUAGGCAACCAAAUCCUCCAUGGUUUUUCAUACCAUAUGCCAUUUUCUUUUUAAACUCCUCUGGAUUGUUAUAAUACUUGGAGGGCAGGGUUAGCUCCAACGCACAAGUGGACGACGUGGGAAACACAUUGGUAUCGUUAAAUCUCAGACCCAAAGAGUUAUCAAAUCCCAUCGGUGGAACAGACUCUGAACCAGUAGUAAAAGAAAGAAUGGUCUUAAGACUGACAGAAUCCUCCGAGUCACCUACAGUAUUAGCCUAAUGAAAUUAUAGUUCAUAGAUCUACCUUCAACACAUUCACAAUCGUACAGAAAAUCUACAUGUAAGUAGCCUCUUCUUUAGCAAGAUCAUUUGAGCCCUUAGGUGAAAAGUGGGUGAUUUUGAACAUGGCCUUCAUGGUCUCUGCAAUAAUUACAACAAAACUAAUUAUGGUUACCAGUUACACACGACACUUACCAGCAGUCAGAACUUGUGUGUUAUUGUGCACAAAUAGAGGCCUCAUUAGUUCAGGGUACUUCACAAGUGCUUCUCCCACACCGUUCACUUGCAAUCCCUCCUUGAGCUGGUUAAUCUCUGCUAAAGACUCGAGAAGAGUGUAGUAGAGUUUUAAUGUCUUCACUAUCUCAACUUUGUCUGCUUGCGUCGAGGUAACAAGUGGCUUGCUGUACCCGGCAUUCACAAUGGUACAGUGUUGAAUUAUACACAUAAUUAUAUAGAUAAUAUUAUAUACCUUCUGAAUAAGGAUCCGGACGUUAGUAUUUGGUACUUCUUCAUCAGGUAUGUCAAUAUCACAGAUUUUAACACCACACAAGUAUGCGUAGAGACUACUUCCAAAAAAGGAGAAACCACUACCACCCUGAGUGAUUCCCAUGGUCAUCAAUUUUCCUACGAGAAGAAACGUCUCACCCUGUAUAAAAAAGUGUAUGUCAGCGACUACGCAUACACACUUUUACAUCAAAAUACCUGCAAAGCCAAUAAAUCAUGCCGCACAACCUUACUGUUCUCAUGGCCCUCAAACAUGGACUGAGCUAUCUCUUUCCAACAGGCACCAAAACUCCCUGGAUGGGCCUCCACCAUCUUCUGCUUCCUCACUUACAAAGUGAACCUUAAUUAGAACAUAAUGUAGAGUGUUUAUACACCAUUAAUCCUUAUUCUAACCGUCAAUGUCUUGAUGCUUGUAAAUGCAGGCCGCCUUGCAGCUCUGAGUGCAUCUACUAACACAUGAGUGCGUCGUAUUGGGAUCUGAUGAUAUUCCUUGAACCGAUACUCAGACAGAAGCUUCAGCAAGCAAGAAAGAGCUGACCAUCACACUGCACACAGUACAGGUAUAAAAAGUGUUAUAGUGAAAUUUAAAGCUUACGAUUUAUGUUGAGUAUCAGGUUGCUUGCUCUCUGUCAAAGCCUGUUUAAGUAAGGCAUCCUCGAUCUCCUAUAACAUUAAAUCAAUAUUGUAACACUAACUUCACUAAAAGGAUACUAACCUCCCUAGAAUCGGAAUCUGAGUCAAUCAAAAUGGAGUCCUUUGUUGGUUUGACAUCUUCAUCAGAUGAGAAGCUGCUAGAAAACCUAAAAAUGAUGCUAGUGAAAUGAAAAGUGUUGAACUGACCUUUUAUAGCGGCAUCUUUCAACAUGAUUUCUCAGCUUGCUCACUUUCAUUGCUUCACAGCAAAACAUGCACUUCUCCUCAAUCUGUCCAUUAAACAUCAAAAACAAUAAUAAUUUUGCACUUAACACUUUCCUACCUCAUCUGCCUCCCACUGCAGGUCUUCGACAGUUGUCAGAUCCAAAUUCUUCUGUAUCGGCCGGAGGUAGAGCCUUCCACUCCCAAUAACGGUUUUCAGCGUUUUAACAGAUUGUGUUAGUUUCCCUUCUACAAGUGCUAGGUCUUUUGAGUUGGGUAAACACCUGAGCAUUUCAAAACCACCGCAAUCACUUAGCUUGGGAAAGGUUCGAACAAUAAUACUCCGAAAUUCUUCCAUGGAACAUGUGUUGAUGUUAGAAACUGUUACAGAAUUUUCUCCAAGUCCAGCUCCUACCAACAAAAUCUUUGAAGAAGCAGUGGCAGGCGCUUUCCACUGGCAAGUAUCACUUAGACAAAAGAGUUUUAAAGUCCAUGGCUGAGUGCGUCCUUUUUUUACUUUGGAAGUAGAUAGAGAAGUAGAUGGUCUAGAGUACGGAGAAAAAAUUUUUCUUUGCUCGAGCCUUGCUUCACUACUGAAACUUUGUCUCACAGAUCUCAGCGUAUCGAUAGCACGACCACAAGCAGAUGAGCUUGAGCCUACAUCACCCACACCCACACCUGCAAUGUACACAAAUCAAUUAUCAGGAGGUGGGCGGGAAACUAAUUUGUAAGUUGGAGUGGCCUAAACGAAGUACAGCUUGCUUACCUACACCUGAUGAGUGUCUUGCAGGUUGUUGACUACGAGCAUCUCUCUGUUGGCUAGGAGCUUGAUUAGCAAGGAUGGUGUUCAAAAUAGUUAUUCCUUCCUCCAGUUUCUUGACUUGCUCUUCAAUCGACAUUUUGUCUUUUAUUCCACGUGGGGCCAAGCAAGCGUAUCACGUGACUUAAGGGGGUUCACCUGAAGUUAGGCCACACCCAACUAAGGACACUAUCUCAAAUAUGUACUCUUGAUCUUGCUCGUAUAUAAAUGCACCUAGACCUAGACGCGAUGUAGGUGGUGAGUGGUGGACGUGUGAUGGUAGAUAUCAAGUAGUGGAUAGAUGUCACCUAGCUGGUAGAUGUAAGUAUACGUAGCAGAAGAUGUCAAGUAGUCGAUAGAUGUCAAGUAGCUGAUGAUGUCAAGUAGUUGAUGGAUGUCAACUAGCUGAUAGAUGUAAGUAUACGUAGCAGUAGAUGUCAAGUAGUCGAUAGAUGUCAAGUAGUCGAUAAAUGUCAAGUAGUCAAUAGAUGUCAAAAGUGUACAAGUGGGUAAAGAUCGAUGUGUGCAAAGCAACCAAUAGAUGUGUGAGACACCCCCUUGAAGUGGGAUGUAUUUUUGACCUAUUUGGCGUUCCAUAUACAUCAUCUCGAUAUAUGUUGGUAAACUUGUUGUAACGUAGUGUGUGUUGGGCCAUACUGCCACAUUAUUGAGAGGUCACUGUUUACUGCUCUGAGUCUGGCAGACAUAGCAUAGGGUAGCUAGCAUAAUUAUAGUUCAAACUCACUUAAGAUUCACAGUAAAUCCAGUUUCAGCAUGCACCCAACUGAUCGUAAUCGACGUUGGAUUGUUUACAAAGCAUUUUACCCUUGCUUCCUCGAUACUUUUGUGGUUUGAAAUUAUUGUAUAUACAUAUUUGAAGACACAAUGAAGUAGAGUAAUUUGAAAUCUUUGUUUUUCCGUUUGCAAAUAUAAAGAGUCGAGUGAUCUUUGUAUUCUUCUAGACGUUCUUUGAGGUGAUGUUCAUCCUCAAAAAACACACUGGAUCGUGUGGAUUUUUGCACAUUAAUUUACUAUUAUUCUCUUCUCAAGGCCCCCCCAUCAAUGACCCCCCAUCGAUGAAAAAGUUAUGCAUGGUGAACUAAAGAGGUGUCUACAAGAGAGCCAGCUGCUUAAACGAGGGGACAGGAGAUCAAUUAUCUGAGCCAUAAUUAUGAACAAUUAAUGCGAUUAUGGAAUGGGCCUCAAACUUGGAUUGGACCUGUUUUACCAUGCAUGACGACCAUGCAGUACUCCCACACUCUGAUUGGUCAUUUAUGACAAUUGAAUAGAAUUUGCUCGGAACUUUUGAAGCAACGAAGCCAUCAACUAUUAGAGUGUGGCGCAUGUUGACUCUAUAUACUGCUGUACUUUAGUACCACAACGUAUGACUUUUGAUAAAAUUCAUCAGCAUUGUAUGAGAACCAGUAUUAUAAAAUUAUUGG